CCGGCGUCUUCCACAGCACGUACCCGGUGGCCAUCCGGAACGUGCCGGUGCCGCCGACGACGGGGAUCUCGCGGACAUCCUCGCCGGUGUCGUCGCGUCCCAUCAGCGCGAGCGUGCUCCCGUUGUGGGCGCCCGACGUGAGCAGCAGGUUGGCGCACACCAUCAGCGCCGCGCCCGACUGCGACGCCAGCAUGUAGAUGCCCUGCAUCCGGCCCAGCUCCGCGGACGUCGGCGACGAGGUCGCCGUCACCGGGUCGUCGAUCACCGUCGUGUCGCCGAACGUCAUGCCGAGUGUUGGCGCCGUCAGGGUGGUGCCCGGACCCUUGAUCACCUUCACCGCCGUUGGGUUGCUGCCCGACGUGAUGUCGUGCAUGAACAAGCUCAGGUGGGUGGUGCCGUUGCUGUCCGCGUCCGCCGCCAGCGUCGUCGUCAGGACGGCGGACGACGUGGAGAGGAGGAGGAGGAGGAUGAGGGGGAGGAUGGGCGCGGUGGUGGCCAUGGCUCACGGCCGCGUGAAGGAAUGUGCGUGCGUGGUUCCGGCCGAUGUGCUAGCUAGAUAGCUUGUGAUAAGCAGGCUGCCUGGAAUGGAUUAGCUGCUACUGCUUGUGUUAUGUAUGGGACAGUGUAUAUGGGCUGGUUGUUGCAUUAUUAUUGGGUUAGUUUUUAGGAACGAAGAGGACAUGUAGUAUGAUGGAUGAUGAUUUAGACGAUGACAUUGACAGCAUGUGCACCACUGUACCACUGUGUCAAGGCCUCUACUGACUACUAGUAUCUCUCUGCAGGUCAAUUAAUUAGCUACUAGCUAGUGUGAUGGUUGUUGAGCUAGCUACUGAUGAUGAUUUGUAGUAGUAGCAGUAACCAGUUACCAAACCCAACAAAUCUGAAGAUGGAUGGAUGUAGUAGUUGUUGAGCUCACCUACCAAUAUAUGUACGAAUAUAAGAGAUGGAUGGAUGGAUGGAUGGAUGGGCAGGGGCCCAAGGGCAUUGCUUGCUUGCUUGCUUUGUGCGCUGCCUCCAUGCUGUCCAUCUCAGUCCAUGUGCCGUCAGGUUCACGUUCGCUUUUUCUUUUUUUAAAUUAAUCUUCCUUUCCUCUUUUUUCCAUUGAUUCGAGAACACUUUAUUGUUUGUUUAUCGACGAAAGGCUCACGGCAUUAUUACAGCAUCACCACCACUGGCGAUCUUGUAAUCAGUCAACUGUCGUGUCGUGUGUCCCUUCGCACCAACUUUUGUACCGCGUUCGGUGUUUUUUCGAAGACUUAACUUAUAUUAAAAGUAUAGUAAAUAUUUAUUUGCAUAAUAUCUACUAUUUGUAAUGCAUAAUGAGUAAUAUAAAAUUAACAAUUGAAUAUGUUUUCAUAAUAAAAAAUAUAUAAACAUUGAUAUUUUUUUACAAGUCAAGUUAAAUAAAUUAAAAAAAUGGUCUGUCAAAAAAUAUAUAUCCUUUUGGAACAGAUGGAGCAAGAGACCUAUCCAUACUGUUAAUAGUUACACUCUCUCUGUAAAAAGAGAUAAAGAAAUCAUUGUAACAUUCAAAAUUUACCUAAUCCUCAUGGUUGCAUGCAAACUCCUUAACUGUAGCUGCAAGCAAAACGAACUGCAUCAAUUAUCCAUGUGAGAACCAAUCUUUCUAUAUGAGAUGUCUAAUAAACAAGGCAUUAUGGCUAUUUUUGUUCCACACUAAUCUAUACUCCCUAUGUCCUGUAGUUACAGUGCAUCCUAGGAAGAACAUAAAAGAUACAUGUACCCUUAUUUUAUUUCCUAAUCAGGCACUUUUUAUCAACAUGAUUGAUGGUGAUUGUUGAUACAUGGAAAGUAUUUAAUUCAAAGUUAGUUUUUGUCCUCUAGGAUGUAUUAUAUUUGAGGACAAAUUGUAAAUGCUACAAUGCACUAUAUUACAGGACGGAGGAAGUAUGAAACAAGACACCGGUAAUUUUAUAGCCUUAAAAAUUCCCAAGGGAACUUCUUUUAUUGGCUAAAUAAUAAUGAUAUAAAUAUAACAUGAAGAAACUUAAAAUUUACAUCCAAUUAUGAUGAGAACGUCGCCACACUUGACACAUCUACACCAUCAUUUUUUUCAAGUUGCAAUUCAUCUCCAACUCAGCUGCCACGUCACCGUCGGAUUCAGCAGACACGUCGUCAAUGUUUCGAUCAUAACUUCUUCAUACGGUAUUGAAACGGGGUGAUCUUGGACUCGUUGGAAAGGGAACGACGACGUCGUCGUUUUGGAUCUAUUCUUAGCUCCAGAUCACCCACGGAUUAAUCUGUGUGACCACGGCAAGGUGUUGCGUCACCUAUUUUGAGCCAACUUGGCCAUGUAUCGAGUCGGCCUUAAGCCCAAGUUGUGGGCGUCUCCCCUUGGUCGCCUAUAAUUCUAGAACAUCUCUCUUUUAUAUUCCACGCAGUCGCCGCUGUUUAGACUUAGGUUUUGUUUAGAGUUUAGUUUUCCAUCGAGAAAUUGAAUCGUUCAUUGUAACUGUGGUGAUAAAUCCUUUUACAGUGAUUCAAGGCCCCCGUUCUUGAUCUCUUCCACUGUGUCGAUUAGUCCUUUGGAACCGAAUUCUUGAACCCUCGUUUGAUAUUCGCAUCAUUCAUAUUUGCAAUUUUAGAUUGCGUGUUUAUACCUUCUUGCUUGUGUUCUUUGAUUCGCUUGCAGGAACAGCCUUCUUAAACCCUCGCUUGAUAACCAACAGAGCAGUGGUGUAACGGUUGAAGGUUCAAAUCAUGUCUGUUUUGAAGUCGGAUCGUCAACGUCGAGAUCUCCACAAAUCAAAUUUACUAAUUACCUCUCGGAAGAUCGAGCCUGAUUUUCAUCAAAUUACCUACCUUUGCAUUUAACAAAAAAACACAGUUCUCCUAUAUAAACCUCUCAUUACUUACUUAUACCUUAAACGCAUAUCCCAAGCUAAGGUCACAACUAAACCCAUAUCAAAACACAUGGAGAAAUUAUGAGUGGAUAAGAAGAAGGACAUACAUAAGUGUGAAAUAAAAUCUAUCACAAUAGGAUAACAAUUACUACAGAGGAUUCAUAUUGUGUUAGAAUAUGGGUAAACGAGAGAAAAUUAACAGAGAUAAACAAAGGUCGAAAAUUCUCAUAUCCUUUAUGAAAAUUUAAAGAAAUAUAUUUUUAGAAAUUACAAAGUAUCCAUCCAUACUUAGAAAUUACUCAUAGCCUUUAUGAAAAUUUAAAGCAAUAUAUUUUUAUUGGAAACCUAAGAUACCCUUACUCCUAUCUAUAAAUUAUCAAUGCUUGCACAUUUUAUAUAGAGGAUAAAAAACACAAAGCACCAUAUAUUCAUAUAUUUUUUACCACAAAUAAAAAGAAAACCACCCAAAAUACAUUUGCACCAAUAUUUUUUAAAAUAAUGUUAGGUGCUUGGUGGAAAAAAUGGAAUGAUUUCGUCAAAGAAUAAGUUCAUUAAAUUGAAAGAUAAGCGAAACCUAGGAAAAUAACCUCCCAAACCUAACUUGAACGCUCAAUCUCAACUCUAUGUAACACAACAUAUUGAUCGUUCUCUGCUCAACACUACUAUACUCCCCAUCCUGAAAAUAUAAUGGAUUUUCAGUUGUCCAAAGUCAAACCAUAUUUCACCUCUUUAAUGUAGUAGUAGGUGUUACUAUGCUUGUCUAGAAAAAAGUUAAUCAAACUUAAGAUAAUUUGACUUCGAACAACUAAAAGUUUAUUAUAUUUGAAGACCAAGGAAAUAGAUUACUAAUAGAGGGGGAUUGUGACUGAAUGAGCGAAUUGGGAUGAGAACAUGAGAAAUGUCAGCCCACGAGAGAAGGCGGUAGUGAGUGUGUUUAGAAAAUGAGUUUUUUUUUCCAAGCAGUUGGCAAGAGAUUUCCUGAGGUAAAUUUGUUAGAAGGAAAACAGGAAUAUUGUUUCAAAAAUAGAAGGAAAAUAGGAAUUUUUUACAAAACAAAACACAAGAGAAAAAAAAAAGGAAAGGAAACAUGAGCAAUGAGCAACUUUUCAUGUGUGUAAAGAGCAUGUUUGCUACCGCUCCAACUUCAGCUAAAUCAGCUUUCACAUGAUAGCUCGACCUGGAAUGACAACCGACCAAAAAAAACAGCAAAUAAUAAGCAACCAAAAACUGAGCCAACAGUAAUAAUCCGGUACAUAUCCAUUCUGAAGGCUGCUUGAUUGAUGGUAACUCCCUCCAUCCCAAAUUAUAAGACAUUCUAAAAAUUUUGGAGAAUCAAUACAUCUUAGGUUUAACCAAAAUUAUAGAAAAAAUAUAAAGAUUUAUGAUAUCAAAUAGGUAUAUAAAAAAUAUAAUUAAUAAAGAAUCUAAUAAUACAUAAUUAAUAUCAUAAAUGUUAUUAUCUUAUGAUAUAAAUUUAAUUAAACUUAAAAUACUUUGAUUUUACAAGAUUUUUGGAAUGCCUUAUAAUUUGGGAUAGAGAAAGUGUAUGUAGCUAGAAAAGGAGAAUGUCCACGCGCCAGAAAAGAACGUACGCAGGGACGCACACGACACAUGAGCCAUCUCCAACUCCAAUACACACGAUCGACCAACACCAUACCACGUACUAGUACAUUGCAAGCAAGUAUAUAUAUACGUACAUGGACUCAUGGAGUCAUGGACAUGCCACCAGACACUGCACGAUAGCUGAUCACCAUACCCCGGAUCCAACUACCGCAACAACAACGGCGACGACGCACGCACUGACCCACCCUGCUCCAACCCGCUUGGCGCCGGCGGCCGAGGAGGCACCAGUGGUGAUGCUGCCGCCGCCGCCGUCGAUGGCGGCGCCGCUACCCGUGGCUGCAGUCGCCGUCGUCCUCACGUGCACGUCGAGCUCGAUGGUGGCGUCGGGCCCGCUCAUGCUGGACGUCUUCCACAGCACGUACCCGGUGGCCAUCCUGAACUUGCCCGUGCCGCCGACGACGGAGAGCUCCCGCACGUCGGCGGCCACGUCGUCCCGGCCCACCACCGCGAGCGUGCUGCCGUUGUGGUCCCCCGUGGUGAGCAGCAGGUUGGCGCACACCAUCAGCACGAGCCCCGACUGCGACGACAUCAUGUAGAAGCCCUGCGCGCGGCCCACGGCGGCGGACGUCGGCGACGACGUCUCCGUCAGCGCGUCGUCGAUCACCGUGGUGUCGCCGAACGCCAGCCCCGGGACGA
rnacentral:lncRNA from 1 species